GAUGAACGCUAGCGGCAGGCUUAACACAUGCAAGUCGAGGGGCAGCACAGGUAGCAAUACUGGGUGGCGACCGGCAAACGGGUGCGGAACACGUACACAAUCUGCCUUUAUCUGGGGAAUAGCCCGAAGAAAUUCGGAUUAAUACCCCAUAGCAUAUUUGGAUGGCAUCAUUUGAAUAUUAAAACUCCGGUGGGUAAAGAUGAGUGUGCGUCCCAUUAGCUAGUUGGCAGGGUAACGGCCUACCAAGGCGACGAUGGGUAGCUGGUGUGAGAGCACGACCAGCCACACGGGCACUGAGACACGGGCCCGACUCCUACGGGAGGCAGCAGUGAGGAAUAUUGGUCAAUGGACGCAAGUCUGAACCAGCCAUGCCGCGUGAAGGAUGAAGGCCUUCUGGGUUGUAAACUUCUUUUAUUGGGGAAGAAAAUUACGGUUUCUACUGUAACCGACGGUACCCAAGGAAUCAGCACCGGCUAACUCCGUGCCAGCAGCCGCAGUAA
rnacentral:rRNA from 1 species